CAUCAAGCUCUCUUUUUACUAGUGCCUGAAUCUUGUGGCUCUUCAGCCAGUAAGAACUUCUUCACUUUCUGUCAUGAGAGGGGAAAAAAAAUUAGGAGGGAAUAAAGAUAAGGAACAGCUCAUUUUCAUACAACGACAGAUGUAAAGGGAAGGAUUUGUCUUGCUUUUUCCCUGCCACUUUACAAUAAACUAGAACACAUCACAUCAUUGUCUAAAUCUAAGAGGAGAGCUACCAAUAAUAAUGAUCCACACAAAAGAGCUAGCUGCAAACAGAACGGCUAAGCGAAUUCAUAACCUAAGCUUUCCUUAACCCGAUUAGAAAACUGAAACGGCACAUGACAUGGCUAACGGUGAUGUGUCAGAGAAAUAGAACAGCAUAGAAAAGAGCUGAUCUCCCAGAAUGUAUGUGAAUCAGAUUUUUCCCAAUUAAAAGGAAUCAGAAACAAAACAGCAUCGUCUAACUAUUGCUGAUGUGCGCACGGAGUCUAUUUGGCUCUUGCAGAUGUGUCUUUCUACACACGUCAGCUCCAUUAGCCGCAUCAUCAUGUGCCACAUCAGCUUGCAUAGAUGAAAAACUUAAUGAUGGGUAUCUUUGUCCCUCCGGUAAAGGUUCGUGAGUAUUUUUGGAUUGGUUGAAACAUCAGGGUGUUUUUGUCCUCCAGAUGAAGGUUCAUCUGACUUUUUGAGACUUGGCUCGAUUUAAUACUAACAUCAGACUUCUCACAUCUAUGUGUCAUCUAAAUUAGCUGAAACUGAAUAUUGAUGACAACGAGAUCAUGAUUAAAGCAUGAGGCAAUAGACACUUUCUUUUUCUUUUUUUUUGGGUCGGAGAGACCAUAAAACAUUCGAUGGCACAUUCACCAGAAGGAAUCCAAGAAGCAGCGAGUUCAGUAUAACUGUCUGUGGACAGAAUAAUGAGAAGGAACUGGCAGACAUGUAACAAAUAGUAAGCAUGCAAGUAGAAAAGGCCAAAAUGUAAGCUUAUUGAUGUGCAUGAAUAAAAUGAGACUGAACCAUAAUAGGUUCUUCUCUUACCCUUUCCAUUAAAACCAAACAAGAUAUUCAGACUACGUAAUUCUUCUCAGGACAUACUCAUCUAUUUAUCUAUUUCCCUUGUACUAAUGAGUAAUGACAGGACCAAAUGGAUUGGAAAGUGCAUAACAAAUAGAGGCAAUCAUAGA